GCCAGGCGUGGUGGCGCACCCCUGUAAUCCCAGCUACUUGGGAGGCUGAGGUAGGAGAAUCACUUGAACCUGGGGGGCAGAGGUUGCAGUGAGCUGAGAUCAAGCCACUGCACUCCAGCCUGGGUGACAAAGUGAGACUCCGUCUCAA
rnacentral:SRP_RNA from 1 species